UUUAUUUCAGUUUAAAUUUUAAUUGUUCACUUUUUCAUCGUUCACCACGACAAUUUAUUAAAAUGCAAACUGGACCUGUCACGCCGCUAGCCAUAUCUUUUCCAACCGGACCUGACUCACCCGAAGUACGCCACGUGUCGGACCACCAAGGGAACCUCAGUGACACCAUCGACCAUCUUAGAGCUGCUAUGGAGCCAAUCGAUUCGACAAGCGAGGAAUUCAUGGCCAAGGCGCCCAUUCUUAUUGACCCGAAGACACAA
rnacentral:lncRNA from 1 species